rnacentral:lncRNA from 10 species
AGCUUCGCGCAGGGAUGGAGCCGGAAGAGGGGACGCCCUUGUGGCGGCUGCAGAAGCUGCCGGCCGAGCUGGGCCCGCAGCUUCUUCACAAAAUAAUUGAUGGCAUUUGUGGUCGAGCUUAUCCUGUGUACCAAGAUUAUCACACUGUUUGGGAAUCAGAAGAAUGGAUGCACGUUUUAGAAGAUAUUGCCAAAUUUUUCAAAGCCAUAGUUGGUAAAAACUUACCUGAUGAAGAGGUAACUUCUCUGCACAUUUCUAUAACUUACAAUAAAUAAUGCUCAGGUUUCUCUCUGAGUUUUUUAGAGCAAUGUAUAAUACAAGGGCUAUCAUCAGUAACAACAAAUACCUUAUAAUUGUGAAUGGAAAAAUCUGUGGAAGUCCUAGGUUUUUGCAGUUUUGUUUUUGGUUGUUUUUACUCUUUUGUGAAACAUUUAAAACAUACAGAAGAAAACAAGAAAUUAUAUAACUGACACCUACAUUCACAUUACCAGUUAAACAGGUGUUAACAUUUUGCAAUGUGUGUGUUUGUUUCA